GGUUUUGUAGUGUAGCGGUUAUCACUCCGGAUUCUGAUCCUGAUAUCAGACGAUUUCCGGCAACCCCGGUUCGAUUCCGGGCAAGACCU
rnacentral:tRNA from 1 species